rnacentral:rRNA from 1 species
CCUACGGGUGGCAGCAGUGGGGAAUAUUGCGCAAUGGGCGAAAGCCUGACGCAGCGACGCCGCGUGAGGGAUGAAGGUCUUCGGAUCGUAAACCUCUGUCAGCAGGGAAGAACGGUCACUGUGCUAAUCAGCAGUGUAUGGAUGGUACCUGCAAAGGAAGCACCGGCUAACUCCGUGCCAGCAGCCGCGGUAAUACGGAGGGUGCGAGCGUUAAUCGGAAUUACUGGGCGUAAAGCGCUCGUAGGCGGUAUGGCAAGUAAAGGGUGAAAUCCCCGCGCUCAACGUAGGAACUGCCUUUGAAACUGGCAAACUUGAGUGUGUGAGAGGAUAGUGGAAUUCCAGGUGUAGGAGUG